GGCUCAGAACGAACGCUGGCGGCGUGGAUUAGGCAUGCAAGUCGAACGCGAAAGAGGGGGCAACUCCUCGAGUAGAGUGGCGAACGGGUGAGUAACGCGUGAAGAACCUGCCUUUGAGAGGGGGAUAACACUCCCAACGGGGUGCUAAUACCGCAUGAGACCACGGGAUCGCAUGGUCCUGAGGUCAAAGGUGGCCUCUGUUUACAAGCUACCGCUCGAAGAUGGCUUCGCGUCCCAUUAGCUAGUUGGCGGUGUAACGGACCACCAAGGCGACGAUGGGUAGCUGGUCUGAGAGGAUGGUCAGCCACACUGGGACUGAGAUACGGCCCAGACUCCUACGGGAGGCAGCAGUCGAGAGGCUUUGGCAAUGGGGGAAACCCUGACCAAGCGACGCCGCGUGGAGGAUGAAGGCCCUUGGGUUGUAAACUCCUUUUGUCGGGGAAGAAGUGCGAUCAGGUGAACAAUCUGGUCGCUUGACGGUACCCGACGAAUAAGCUCCGGCUAACUCCGUGCCAGCAGCCGCGGUAACACGGGGGGAGCAAGCGUUGUUCGGAAUCACUGGGCGUAAAGGGCGUGUAGGCGGUCAGGUAAGUGGAAUGUGAAAUGCCCCGGCUCACCCGGGGACCGGCAUCCCAAACUGCCUGGCUUGAGUACGGGAGAGGAUGGAGGAAUUCCUGGUGUAGCAGUGAAAUGCGUAGACAUUAGGAGGAACACCGGUGGCGAAGGCGUCCAUCUGGCCCGAUACUGACGCUGAGGCGCGAAAGCUAGGGGAGCAAACGGGAUUAGAUACCCCGGUAGUCCUAGCCGUAAACGGUGAUCACUAGGUGUUGGAGGCAACGACCCCUCCAGUGCCGCAGCUAACGCAUUAAGUGAUCCGCCUGGGGAGUACGGCCGCAAGGUUGAAACUC
rnacentral:rRNA from 1 species